ACGUUGGUGGUUCAGUGGUAGAAUUCUCACCUUCCAUGUGGGAGACCCAGGUUCAAUUCCCAGCCUAUGCA
rnacentral:tRNA from 1 species